GGAGAGAUGGCCGAGUGGUUUAAGGCGCGCCCCUGGAAAGGGCGUAUAGGGGAAAUCUUAUCGGGAGUUCGAAUCUCCCUCUCUCCGCCA
rnacentral:tRNA from 1 species